UGGGCACUAGUAUAGCUUCAAAUAUAUGGCUUUGUCAGGGCCAAGUUGCGGGUUAGACUCCCGCGUGUCCAA
rnacentral:tRNA from 2 species